GUCAAGUCGUUUGAGGCUACAGACUGCCAGUGCGACUGCGUGGCAGCAGCCAAUGGCAAUUGGAAUGUCACUGCUGCCACUGCCGCCGUUGUCACGUUUCGCUCUCCCGCAAAAAGAACUUUUGUUUUUGUUUGCGCAUUUGGACUGGGUUUAUGUGGCGACUCGUGUGGCAUUCCAUGGAAUUGUUUGCGGCAUGCACCAGCACUUCAUUCAUGAUAAGACAGAGAGACCCCGCAGCUGGAUAUUUUCGGGGUGCUGGCAAUAAUCGUACGCACAAACAAGUUGAACGAACUGCAGACAGGCCUGGGCCAAGAAACAAAUGCGAAUCUCAAGUCGAGUCUCUAGCGCUGAUCAAAAUAUACAUAUGCAUGGAACACAGA